rnacentral:rRNA from 1 species
UACGUAGGGUGCGAGCGUUGUCCGGAAUUAUUGGGCGUAAAGAGCUGUAGGCGGUCUGUCGCGUCUGCUGUGAAAAUCCGGGGCUCAACCCCGGACUUGCAGUGGGUACGGGCAGACUAGAGUGUGGUAGGGGAGGACUGGAAUUCCUGGUGUAGCGGUGAAAUGCGCAGAUAUCAGGAGGAACACCCGAUGGCGAAGGCAGGUCUCUGGGCCACUACUGACGCUGGAGCAAGCGAAAGCAUGGGGAGCGAACAGG